AUUGAACGCUGGCGGCAGGCCUAACACAUGCAAGUCGAACGGUAGCACAGAGAGCUUGCUCUCGGGUGACGAGUGGCGGACGGGUGAGUAAUGUCUGGGAAACUGCCCGAUGGAGGGGGAUAACUACUGGAAACGGUAGCUAAUACCGCAUAACGUCGCAAGACCAAAGUGGGGGACCUUCGGGCCUCACACCAUCGGAUGUGCCCUGAUGGGAUUAGCUAGUAGGUGGGGUAAUGGCUCACCUAGGCGACGAUCCCUAGCUGGUCUGAGAGGAUGACCAGCCACACUGGAACUGAGACACGGUCCAGACUCCUACGGGAGGCAGCAGUGGGGAAUAUUGCACAAUGGGCGCAAGCCUGAUGCAGCCAUGCCGCGUGUAUGAAGAAGGCCUUCGGGUUGUAAAGUACUUUCAGCGGGGAGGAAGGCGGUGAGGUUAAUAACCUUGCCGAUUGACGUUACCCGCAGAAGAAGCACCGGCUAACUCCGUGCCAGCAGCCGCCGUAA
rnacentral:rRNA from 1 species